rnacentral:misc_RNA from 1 species
CAACGAGUACCAAGACUUUGGUCGAGGGGAGUUUCUCAGCUCUUUCUCUCAUUGUGUCUCAAUUUCCUCGUCCCUUCAUCGCUCUCAUUACAUCUAUCUUCCAUUUUUUUAUAGGGUUUUUCUUCUAUUUGCCAUCUUCAAGUCGAUAAGUUAAAUAAAUUUACACAAUCGUCUCUCUACACUAUUUCACUUGUCAUCAAUACCGCAUCACACUUAUUGUAAAAGCUUUCUAUCGAAAAUUUUAAUGGCUUCUGAUUCAUGGAGCUCUCGUCUCUCGACUUCUUCAAAACGCUACCAUUAUCGAUCUGAUCUGUACGAGGAAACUGAUGUAGACGAGGAUUUGAAAGCCGAGUUUUUGUGUCCGUUUUGCGCCGAGGAUUUCGACGUUGUUGGACUCUGCUGUCAUAUUGACGAGGAGCAUCCUAUUGAAGCUAAGAAUGGGGUGUGCCCAGUCUGUGCUAA